AUGGCCGGCGGCGGCAUCUUCAGCAGGGCGCUGAGCUACGUCGUCAACGAGUUCCUCGUCGAGGGCCUCGCCAACAACCGUGCCUUCCAGAGGUUUGCUGUGAGGACCAACAGGACUUUGGAGGAUCUCUCUUCUAAAGCUAAACAAGCGAGGGAGGAGAUAUCGGAGCAAUUCAAGGAUGCUCGUGGACCCAAUGAUCGCUUCAAGCAGUGA
rnacentral:rRNA from 1 species